UAUUCUUACCUGUAAGCUUUUGUCUCCUGCCCCCAUCAAACAUAGUUUAAAGUCUGCCUCACUAGGUGAGCCAGUCUCUUUCCGAAAAUACUCUUUCCCCUUCCUUGAUAGGUGGACCUCAUCUCUGCUCAGAAGUCCUUCUUGGAACAGCAUCCCAUGGCCGAAGAAGCCAAAGAUGAGUACUUCUCACAAAGGUGGCAUUGUGUAAAAUUAUAAGCUUGUCAUGAAAGUGACUGCCUGAUUCCCCCUUCGUCUGUUUGAACAGCACUUAAUACAAAGAGACCUUUAGGUUACAUUUGUGAGUGAUAAUACCAUACAGAAAGAUCAAAACAACCUACAAAUAUUAAUUGGGGGACUCUACGCCUGCUUAUGCUUCUUCGUGAUGGAUCUUUGCUUUUCUAG